rnacentral:lncRNA from 1 species
UCAUCAAAAGGAAAGUUUUUCUUUCUUUUUGUAUGUAUUGGUUUCAUUAAUGCCUUGCCCCUGAAGUCAGGAAAUACUUUGCCAGUAAUGGACUGCAAAUGCAAUGCCCCUGGCCAUCCAGAACCCCAUGAAGGUGAGUUCAACACUAAAGGCAUCAAAGUGGUUUAUGCCCCUGUAUACAAUGUCUCUAAUUCAGUCUUUAUCUCAGAAGGUCAUAAGGACCUUUAAGGUUCAUUACACACAGUACUUUAUGGAAAAGAUUGUCAGUGCUAUAGAAGGGAAUUCUGACAGAACAUCAUGGAAGUCUGGAUGAUAACACCACUGAAGAUGCUGUUGUUAUAGAAAAAGCCAUCAAGCCUGAAACAAUAAAUUCCUGCUGGAAAAAUCUUUGUCCAGAUGUGCAUGCCUUCACAGGAUUUAUGACAGCCAGUCAACGAAAUCAUGAAAAUAAUUGUGGAUAUGGCAAAAAAAAAAAAAAAAAAAAAAAAAAAAAGCAUGGGUCUGUGUUUCAGGAUAUGGAUCUUAGAGAAAUUCAAGAGCUAGUAGACACCACACUGGAGGAAUUAACAGAUGACAGGUUGAUGGAUAUGAAUGCUUCUGAACCAGUGCCAGACGAUGAGGGAGAAGAUGUAGAAGCAAUGCCAGAAAACAAAUUGAUGUUAGGCAAUCUAGCAUAAAGUUUCAACUAUUCAAGAUUACUUUUGACUUCACAAUGUGGACCCUCCUAUGAUAUGGGUGCUGAACCUAAAGCAAAUGGUAGAAGAAGAAUUGGUACUGUAUGGAACAGUUUUAGAGAAAUGGAAAACCAAAAAUCAGGAAAAAAUUAUGAUGUAUUUGUGUAAAUUUACACAGUGUGCCUGCCUCUCCUGCCUUCCCUGCAACCUCUGAGACAGCAAGACCAGUCCCCUCUUCUUCCUCCUCAAUCUACUCUACAUGAAGACAAUGAGGUUGAAGGCUUUUAUGAUGAUCCAGUUUCAUUUAAUGAAAAGUAAGUCAUCAUGUUGUACAGUUAAAAAAACUCGUCUCAUAUAUGUCUGUGAGUAUCUUUGAAUGAAAAAUCUAAUAAACUUAACAGCAAAAACUGUUAAGAACUUUUUUUGUCAUCAUCAUCACUUAAGUAUUCAUUAUAUAGAACAUUGUGUCCCUGUAUUAAACUGGAAAACCUACCCUUAAAUAGGCAUAAUGUGAGUGACAUUUAAUAAAAAAUUAAUAUUGGGUUAGUUUUCUUUCUGUUUUAUAACUUUGCUUUCAAAGAAUUACAUUUACCAUACAGUAUGCCUCUCUCUUCCUCAUAAUUGGAAAAAACAUGCAUAAGCUUAUCAUGACGGGUAAGUCCCAUUUAAAAGGUGUAACAACAUUUCCAAUACUAUAUUAUAAAUAUGAAUGUAAUAUUGUAUGCCAUAAAAUUUUUAUAACAUUUCAUUCAUUAGUGUAUAAGCUAUAUCAAUUACACUAAGCUACCAUAAAGCAAUCAUAUUGCUUCUUCUUUGUUAUCAAUGCAUGAAUCAUUAUAUAUGUGUAAAUAAAUGUGAAUUUCUCUUCUCACAUUAUCUUUUCAUUUUUAUGUCUAGUGUUAGUAAUAUGUAUAACAUUUAUGGAGUUUGUAUCAUAUAAGACAAUAUGUACAUACUAAUAGAUGAUUCAUCUUGUAAACAUAAUACUUAUGGUAUCAAUAAAUACAGCACAGUACUAUAAAUGUAUUUUUUCUCUCCCUUAAGAUUUCUUUAACAUUUUUUCUCUAGCUUACUUUGUUGUAAGAAUACAGCAUAAACUGUGUGUAACAUACAAAAUACAUGCUAAUUGACUGUUUAUGUUAUCAGUAAGGUUUCUGGUCAGCUGGGAAUCGAACCACAACCUCAUGGUUCCUAGUCGGAUUCAUUUUGGCUGUGCCACAAUGGGAGCUCCCCAUUCUAAUGUUUUUUUUUCUAUUCCAGCUUCAGUUUAAAAGUUUGGACAUUAAUAGCAGACUUGUUGUAAGUAAUAGCUUAUAAUAUACAUCAGUACUAUGUAAACUAACUGAAAGAUUGUGAAAAUUGAAGUAACACAAUCAUGUUCCUAUACAGAGUGAUCUUUUGUCUUUUCCUUUCUCUAAGCAUCACAGUUUUGAGUGGUUCCUGAAGAUUUUAAUCACAUUCCAGCAAGUCUCAAAGUCUCUUCAUCUUUGACACCGCCUGUACUGUUGAACUCUCUGGACCUUGUCUCAUACUUGGUCCAGUUUCUGUAUCUUUAGUAAUGAUAUAAUUAAGGAAAUUGAAUAUUAUCAAAUCCAUCCCAAUGCUAUAGAGGGUGGAGAAAAAUACAAGUAAACUAAAAUACAAGGACAAAAUCCUACUACAGUAAACCAUCGUGCAUAUAAAUAUCUAUGAAAUAAAAGAACCACAAAUAGAUUCAUAUGACUGUAGAGGGGAACUGAGGAAAAUGCAAUGAUAAUGCAAAAACAGGCUUAAGGAGAAUGAUCUACAAUAUAAAAAUUCACUUGCAGAGUUCCCUUUGUGGUUCAGUGGUUAACGAAUCUGACUAGGAACCAUGAAGUUGCAGGUUUGAUCCCUGGCCUUGCUCAGUAGGUUAAGGAUCCAGCGUUGCUGUGAGCUGUGAUGUGGGUUGCAGACGUGGCUCGAAUCUGGCAUUGCCAUGGCUCUGGCAUAGGCCAGCAAUAACAGCUCCAAUUAGACCCCUUGCCCGGGAACCUCCAUAUGCUGCUAGUGCGGCCCUAAAAAGACAAAAG